AUUGAACGCUGGCGGCAUGCCUUACACAUGCAAGUUGAACGGCAGCACGGGAGCAAUCCUGGUGGCGAGUGGCGAACGGGUGAGUAAUAUAUCGGAACGUGCCCAGUCGUGGGGGAUAACGUAGCGAAAGCUACGCUAACACCGCAUACGCUCUAUGGAUGAAAGCGGGGGAUCGCAAGACCUCGCGCGAUUGGAGCGGCCGAUAUCAGAUUAGGUAGUUGGUGAGGUAAAGGCUCACCAAGCCGACGAUCUGUAGCUGGUCUGAGAGGACGACCAGCCACACUGGGACUGAGACACGGCCCAGACUCCUACGGGAGGCAGCAGUGGGGAAUUUUGGACAAUGGGCGCAAGCCUGAUCCAGCAAUGCCGCGUGCAGGAUGAAGGCCUUCGGGUUGUAAACUGCUUUUGUACGGAACGAAACGGCGAGCUCUAAUACAGUUUGCUAAUGACAGUACCGUAAGAAUAAGCACCGGCUAACUACGUGCCAGCAGCCGCCGUAA
rnacentral:rRNA from 1 species